rnacentral:misc_RNA from 1 species
AAAUGCGAUAAGUAAUGUGAAUUGCAGAAUUCAGGGAAUCAUCGAAUCUUUGAACGCACAUUGCGCCCGCCAGUAUUCUGGCGGGCAUGCCUGUCCGAGCGUCGUUUCAACCAUCAAGCCCCCGGGCUUGUGUUGGGGACCUGCGGCUGCCCGCAGGCCCUGAAAACCAGUGGCGGGCUCGCUGUCACACCGAGCGUAGUAGCAAUCACCUCGCUCAGGGCGUGCUGCGGGUUCCGGCCGUUAAACAGCCUUACAAAACCCAAGGUUGACCUCGGAUCAGGUAGGAAGACCCGCUGAACUUAAGC